UGGGGAAUAUUGCACAAUGGGCGCAAGCCUGAUGCAGCCAUGCCGCGUGUAUGAAGAAGGCCUUCGGGUUGUAAAGUACUUUCAGCGGGGAGGAAGGGAGUAAAGUUAAUACCUUUGCUCAUUGACGUUACCCGCAGAAGAAGCACCGGCUAACUCCGUUCCAGCAGCCGCGGUAAUACGGAGGGUGCAAGCGUUAAUCGGAAUUACUGGGCGUAAAGCGCACGUAGGCGGUUUGUUAAGUCAGAUGUGAAAUCCUCGGGCUCAACCUGAGAACUGCAUCUGAUACUGGCAAGCUUGAGUCUCGUAGAGGGGGGUAGAAUUCCGGGUGUAGCGGUGAAAUGCGUAGAGAUCUGGAGGAAUACCGGUGGCGAAGGCGGCCCCCUGGACGAAGACUGACGCUCAGGUGCGAAAGCGUGGGGAGCAAACAGG
rnacentral:rRNA from 1 species